rnacentral:rRNA from 1 species
GUGCCAGCCGCCGCGGUAAAACGUAGGAGGCAAGCGUUAUCCGGAGUUACUGGGCGUAAAGGGCGUGCAGGUGGUUCAAUAAGUUGGUUAUGAAAGCUCCUGGCUAAACUGGGAGAGGUUGACCAAGACUGUUGAACUUGAGUGGAUGAGAGGUAAACGGAAUUCCGCGUGUAGUGGUGAAAUGCGUAGAGAUGCGGAGGAACACCAGUGGCGAAGGCGGUUUACUGGCAUCCAACUGACACUGAGACGCGAAAGCAUGGGUAGCGAACGGGAUUAGAAACCCCCGUAGUCC